UACCAUUAACAGCUAAGCGCUUUAUUUACUGUCUUGUAUGCACUUAAAAGCAGGAAUUCAGCAUGAUCCUUUUAUCUGUCAUUAUAGAGGUUUAAUGGAAGAAGCUAAACUUCGAGCUUCCGUGAYGAUGGUGGUAGAAGUUAAAUUUUACUUGUGCUGCUGUGACCUCUUAGGCAUCAGUGAAAAGCCAGAACUCUUUGUUGUAAAACCCAGCAUGUGCUUGCUGGUCAAAGUCAGAAUUUAUUGUGGACACCACAUUCAUGGAAAUGAGGAACUUAAGAUUCUCUGUUUCACUUUUUUUUUUUUCUUCUUCUUUAAGAGUUAAGUACUCUUCACCUGUGUUAUUGUCUGUCCAUCUGGAAUAUAUUUCAGUCAGUGCAGAUCCUUUAUAUCAGGCAUAAAUUAUCCGGCAGAAAUGAAAUUUCGUUUGUGUCAUCUUUGAUAUUCUUAUUCCACAUCCUGUGUAGUACUCUUGCUGYGUUCCUUUGUAUAGGAUUUGGCUAGUUACCAUGAAUAUAUGCAAUAAGAAAUAUUAGAAAAAUUGAAUAAUUUCUCCAUAUGCUAACAAAAUACUUCAGAUUUCUUAUUUGUAUUCCCCUAGAGAACAUGUACCGAUAUGGGUCUCAUGUAUUACUUAGCUAUUUAUUAUAUGCACUCUAGAGCCUUCUCUUGGCCCUUUUUUCUCCUUCUUGCUGAACAAAUUCUUGUAAAUGUAUAUUCAUUAGUCUAAUUGGAUUUGCUGAUGGCUAAUUCAUCUUUGCAGUAUUCUAGAGUAGUGUGGGCCAUCUCUCUAAAGGAUUAAUACAACACCCAGCUUUUCUUCAUUUUUUUCCCCUCUUUUUGAGUCAGACUGGCCAAAUGUAAUAUGGAGUUUGGUUUGCAGGCUUCCUGUGUGACAAGAUCUCCRGGCUUCUGAUACAGUUUUGGAGCUGCUGAUCAAGAAGAACACUGUGUACGUGUAUUUUGACAUGGAGCCAUGACAGGGAUCCUACAAGGUAUUUUUAUAUAGCUACUCUUCAGAGUAUAACUACAGCCAUAUCCUAAAAGUUCAAGGAAAGUUCUAGCUCUUUAUUCUAUGGCAAUAGGAGGGAUAGCUCAUGCUCUUUCAAAAGUUAGUCUGUUGCAACAUGUUGCAAGCAAARUCUAAUUAACUUUCUUGUUAUUCUGCCAGAUGAAGAGACUUUUC